rnacentral:rRNA from 1 species
AACGAACGCUGGCGGCAGGCCUAAACAUGCAAGUCGAACGCAACCCGCAAGGGUUGAGUGGCAGACGGCUGAGUAACGCGUGGGUGACGUGCCGAUAGGUGGGGAAUAACUGCCCGAAAGGGUGGCUAAUACCGCAUACGUCCACUGAUUCGCUUUCAGUGGGGAAAGCCGCAAGGCGCCGAUCGAGCGGCCCGCGUCCGAUUAGCUUGUUGGUGGGGUAACGCCUACCAAGGCGACGAUCGGUAGCUGGUCUCAGAGGAUGAUCAGCCAGACUGGGACUGAGACACGGCCCAGACUCCUACGGGAGGCAGCAGUUAGGAAUUUGGGCAAUGGGCGCAAGCCUGACCCAGCAACGCCGCGUGGGUGACGAAGGCCUUCGGU